GUUACAAAAUGUACUUCACAAUAAUCCCCCUUUUUUCAUUCUCUCACUUUUCCCCUUUCCUUUUAGAUUAUUUCUCUCGAUUUUCUUCCCCUUUCCUUCUAGAUUAUGCGUCCACCACCAUCACCACCACCACCGCCGUAGAUUUCCCUUCUAGAUUUCACUUUUUUCAAUCGCCAUGGUCUUCAGUGUCUCAGAUCCACGAUUAAUCAAAUUUCCGACCUCCCUGGCGAUUUAGGUACGCGACUGGAUAAUUUUGCGGAAUUUGGACUGGAUUUCUCGUUUCAAUUGCAGCUGUUCGGCUUCGAGUUCGGAUUUUUCAUUUUCUCGUUCGUGAAGAACUUUUGUCUUUUUAGAUUAAAAGGUUGAGGGAGAUACAAUGCCAACUUGAUAUCCGACUUAAUUUUGCCGUAGAGGCCUCACUCAAGGUAAUACAAUUUCAACCAUUCUUAUACAAUCUUCGUAGAUAGUACAUGAAAUUUCAGCAAUUUCAACCAUAUUUGAAAUCUAAAAUUGUGUGUUUCAUAUUUUUAGAAUUUAGUUUUACGUCUGUCUGCAGAGCCACCUUCUUCUAAACAACUUGAAAACAGUUGGUUAACAAUUUUAUCAGAUCUUACUUCUGUUAUUUUUUUUGGCACAUAAUCGUGUGUUUGCAUGAACUAAUCAUAAUUUAAGUCGAAAUAUGGAGGUUUCAGAUUUGUUUUCAGAGAAAUGCACUAACGAAGCCCCUCGAAAAAGUAACAGAAGAGAGAAAGACGGGACAAAUGAUCCAUUGUGCUUUCCCAGUAACAUGUAUUGCGUAUUUCUUCUCGGCCACCGGCUACUGUGAUCACCGCAUCCGAAGUGCUGAAACCAGAGCAUCGCUCUCCCUGUAUGGCGUCAUACUGCCGGAAACUCUCAAGUCCUCUACUCUCCGGCGUCUCGGAUAUCCCGAUGCCGCCGCAUUGCGUGCUAAGGAUCUUGAUUGUGCUGAUGCCCCGUCGACUUUUCUAAAUGACAUCUCUGCCUUCGCUGAUGAACUCAAAUAAUAAUGCUGAUGGCACCAUGUUACAUGCCUUUGAAGACUGAAGUUGGCUGGUAUGUUCUAAAGAAAAUUCGUCUCUCUAAGGAGAGAGAAUUUUAAGAACAAAGAGUGCCACAAAGUUAUUUUUAAAUACUUGCGUUCUUUAGUGUUUUGGAAUGAGUUUAAUUCCAAAGCUACGCCAUCCGUUUAUAGUUGAAUAUAAAGAUGUUUGGGUCGACAAGAUUUGAAAGUGCAAAGACGGUUGUGAGGAGGAAGUAUAUUGCUCCACUGAAGGGAGGAGGGUGUCUAUAUAUUAUGUAGUUUAUUUUUUAAUGUAAAUUUCAAUUUGAUUUUAUUGACUCAUGUAUUUUGUAUGUGUAAUUGUACGAUAUAUUGCAAUACAAUUUUAUUUUCAAAAUUAUUGUUUAGUUUUGCG